AUACGAAAGGUGCAAGCGUUGUUCGGAUUUACUGGGCGUAAAGAGAGUGUAGGUUGUUUAUUAAGUCGGAUGUGAAAUCCCGGGGCUCAACCUCGGAACUGCAUUCGAUACUGGUAGACUAGAGUUCGGGAGGGGUAAGCGGAAUUCCGUGUGUAGCAGUGAAAUGCGUAGAUAUACGGAGGAACACCUGAGGCGAAGGCGGCUUACUGGACCGAUACUGACACUGAGACUCGAAAGCGUGGGUAGCAAACAGCAUUAGAUACCCUAGUAGUCC
rnacentral:rRNA from 1 species